rnacentral:rRNA from 1 species
AGAGUUUGAUCAUGGCUCAGAACGAACGUUGGCGGCGUGGAUUAGGCAUGCAAGUCGAGGGAAUCCCCGCAAGGGGGGAACCGGCGUAAGGGGCAGUAAUGCGUGGGUAACCUACCCCGGGGUUCGGCAUAGCCUCUCGAGAGAGAGGGUAAUUCCGGAUGACGUCGUGAGACCAAAGAUUUAUCGCCCUGGGAGGGGCCCACGUGGUAUUAGCUAGUUGGUGGGGUAACGGCCCACCAAGGCGAAGAUGCCUAGCGGGUGUGAGAGCACGACCCGCGCCACUGGCACUGAGACACUGGCCAGACACCUACGGGUGGCUGCAGUCGAGGAUCUUCGGCAAUGGGCGCAAGCCUGACCGAGCGACGCCGCGUGUGCGACGAAGGCCUUCGGGUUGUAAAGCACUGUCGAGGGGGAGAAAAGCCCGAAAGGGUUUGAUCUAUCCUCAGUAAGCUCGGGCUAAGUUCGUGCCAGCAGCCGCGGUAAUAC